UUAAAAUAAAUAAAUGAAACUUGGAGAGUUUUUUUUUAAAAACUAAUUAAGGCUAUUGGUUUCCCAAGAUAUCCAUUCACGUUCUAAUGAAACCUGGAGAGUUUUUUUAAAUUAAUUAAGACUAUCGGUUUCCCAAGAUGGCCAUUCACGUUCUCCCUUCUUUUUUAACAAAAACAUUGUCUCUUUUUCAAUGUGAAGAUAAAACAGAGAACACACUCCAUUCUCUCAAUCUCUCUCUAAACGCAAACAAACCAUGGCUUAAAAAAAAUCAAAAAAACAAAACUCUCACCUUUCUCGUUUAUUCUUCAGAGGACUCCUCUUCGAUAUGAAUCUCUUGCUCCCACGAACUUCUCUGCUUCGUCAAUCGCUGGUGGUCACCGAAAACCGUCAACGGCGGAAGGGUUUGUUGCGUCGGAAGUUGAUCGUGAGCUUGAGGUUAUCGAUCCUUGGGAUUCCGUGGUUGCGAUCUGGUGGAGGAGGCGGCUCUUUUUUUUCGGUCCAGAUUCACGGUUAUCGUCCUCCUUUUAUACUCACCCUGCUAGGGUUUUGAGUUGGCUUACUGCAAUCAAAAGGGGUAUCCCACUUGGAAGUGCUUGAGGUGCUCCUGUUUGUCUACCCUAUUUUGGUGUUGGAUCUGGAAAAGAUCCUGUUGUUUGCAGCAUUUUGUUCAGUGAAAUAAUCCCUUUCUGUGGUAGAUUCAUUGUUGCCUUCAAAAUGGAUUCUCAGAGCUAUUGUCAGGUGUAUGUUCAUUGCUUCUCAUCUUGGUAAGCUCGCUGAUAUGGAGUUGAGCAAGGUUGGAUGUUGAACGAGCUACUGCUAUAACAUCUUGCAAGUCCAAAUUAGCUUCAGAUUUUGUAGUUGAUAAAGAGAUGCCCUUAGCUUCAUACUUUGCAGUUGAUAAAGAGAUGUCCUUGGCUUCACACUUUGCAUUCCAAUAUCUCCUGUUAUAUGCUUGCUUGAUUUCCUCGGCAUUAUUACUUUUGUUUUAUCAUCAAUGUUGCUAUCAGCGUUCAUCGGAUCAGCUUUUGGUUCUGUCAUCAUAAUCUGUUUCUGUUCAUUAAUCGCAGGUUCUUCGGCUUCUUUAAGCCUAAAAGGCAGUUCACUUGCUACUUGCACCGCUUCUACCGUAUCCUUCAAUUGAGCCUGGAGCCCUCUAUUUCCAUCCCUCAACAUUCGCCUCUCCUCUAUCCGCCAACAUAUGUGUCACAGAGAAAUCCGCUUUGUUGAAGGUAAUCCCUGCGGCAUAUUUUGAGAAAGAAGCAAAGUCCAUAUUGAAUCCAACGUCGACAUUCAUAGGAGCAUCCUGACAUUGUAAAUGUAGCUGGAAUCUCUAAUUGCGGGGUUGUAACAAUUGAGGAAGUCGGGCAAAUUUCUCAGGGUAAAAGUUGUGCAUACUGAAGAAGCAAAUCGAAUUUAUCAGCGACCGGGUACCUCCAAGAAAUGCCCUGCUUCAACUUGAAUAUGUCAUCUCCACUCGGUGCCGUCGUUUGGACUUAAAGCAAAGUAGAAUACCACCAUAUUCUUACUAUUGUGCAUAUAAAAAACAAAGCAUUAACUAUGACAAAGUGUGAUUUCCAAAGUUGCUGACUCGCAUGUCCCAUCCUUAGCUUUCAUAGCUUCCUUCCCGCGGUUAAUUUUCCGGAGAUGAUCGGACUGGCUUUUGGCAGCAACAUAGAUUUUAUCUUCAAGCCUUUGAGAAAUCUUCCGAAGUUCAGGAUUUCUUUUGUUGUUGGACGUGAUGAUGGUUCAGGAUGCAGCAGCCAAAAAAGUGCUACUUCAGUUCUUUGAGGUCUUGAUAUCAGCUUAAAUAAUACACGUGGAAGAAGCUUCAUUAUUGAUUUGUGAACAAUAGUGCGCGUAUGAGUCAUGCGCGAGGUUCUGUUCCUUGAAUUGAAGGGCUCCCCAUCUGCUUCCAGCAUUUGUGAUUGACAUUUGGAUUUCCGACACCGACAUAAAGUCUCCGGGUGUUGAUGUUGCAUGCUUCUUUCAUUUAAGGUAACUUUCCAUCAAUUUCAGGUGGUGUUGUUGCAGAAACAUUCCAACCUGAAUUAUGGGCUGCGGCGGCUGGAAGAAAUCAUAUACACGUUGGUGCCAAGACCAAGGCUAACCGUGCUGUUAUACUGUGGUCAAAUUUGCUGCAGAGUUGUUUAUCUUUACCAAUAUCAAGAAGAACGUCACGAGUGCAUUCAUCACCUUUCCAAACAUUCUGUGUUGGCCAUAGACUAGAAUAGCUCACGGCUGAUGCUAGAUUGCCCUCCGGCAUAAAAAGAAAUCGUCUAACUUGGUGUUCUCGUGUUGUUUGGGUACAUCCCAUUAGCAUAUCCAGAAGACAGACCCAGUCUAAAUGAAUGCAUGGAAGCAUACACGUUUGUGAAUUAUGGAAGUGGCUGAUGUAAGGACGUGUUCAGCAGUAACAUCAAUUGAAGUUUUCCCUCCAUGACCAUUUAUUUUGUUAGCAGUAUAUGUUUCAUUGGCAGAAGCUGGAGGAUGAUUUGGCAUGUUAAUUGGAAUUAGUUUUUGGUAGUUUUGGAGUGAGUUCGAUUUGGUCCCCAAUGUCCCUUCUGUAAAUUUGUAAGCUUAGCAAAAUCUCAUGAUUUGUAAUGAAUAUAACACUGGAUGUGAAUGAAAAUUGGUGUCCUUGUAGCAAAA